GGCAAUAUUACGUUCAAACGCCAGUUCCCGUAAGAUCAAGGAAGUUAAGCAACAUUGAACCUGGUCAGUACCUAGAUGGUUUACCGCUUGGGAAUAUCAGGUGCG